rnacentral:snoRNA from 1 species
ACGACCUUACUUGAACAGGAUCUGUUCUAUAGGAUCGUACCUCUGUAUCCUUUAUCACUAAGGAGACAGGAACCUAAGCCUGGUUGAUGAACCAGGACCGUGUGAUCAUAGCGUGAUUAGUGGCUUGAUUAUCCUUGGAUGAUCGUGGCCGCAGAGGAUCGUUCCCGAGCCAUCAUGUGGCUGGGGAUGGUCAUGCGGUUGUCUGACAGGCU